UGGGGGAAUAUUGGGCAAUGGACACAAGUCUGACCCAGCAACGCCGCGUGAGGGAAGAAGGUUUUCGGAUUGUAAACCUCUGUUUUAGUGAAGAAAAAAUAGACGGUAGCUAAAGAGGAAGCCACGGCUAACUACGUGCCAGCAGCCGCGGUAAUACGUAGGUGGCAAGCGUUGUCCGGAUUUACUGGGUGUAAAGGGUGCGCAGGCGGGACUGCAAGUUGGAUGUGAAAUACCGAGGCUUAACCUCGGGGCUGCAUCCAAAACUGUAGUUCUUGAGUGGAGUAGAGGUAAGCGGAAUUCCGAGUGUAGCGGUGAAAUGCGUAGAUAUUCGGAGGAACACCAGUGGCGAAGGCGGCUUACUGGGGCUCUAACUGACGCUGAGGCACGAAAGCAUGGGUAGCAAACAGGAUUAGAUACCCU
rnacentral:rRNA from 1 species